UCGUAACAAACGCGUGGGAGGCGCUCCAAGGCUGUCGCCUAUUCUGUGCACGCCGGAAGGGCGUCCUCUCACGUCAAAUCCACCUCACCCCUUUUGUGCGCCACCGCGUGGGCCCCCUCCUCGGAGGGGGUUCGCGUUUUUCACACAAACGCCCUUUGUAAACGUCUCGUAGAACGUCUUCAUUUUGUUUGCGUUGACGCGCGAUCAAUA
rnacentral:misc_RNA from 1 species